UACGUAGGGGGCGAGCGUUGUCCGGAGUUACUGGGCGUAAAGGGCAUGCAGGCGGUCGGACGCGUUUCGGGUGACAGCGGGUGGCUUAACUACCCGAGUGGUCGAAAGACGGUUUGACUUGAGGACGCGAGAGGGACACGGAAUUCCGGGUGGAGUGGUGAAAUGCGUAGAGAUCCGGAGGAACACCGAAGGCGAAGGCAGUGUCCUGGCGCGUAACUGACGCUGAGGUGCGAAAGCGUGGGUAGCAAACGGG
rnacentral:rRNA from 1 species